ensembl:lncRNA
CUACACACACACACACACACACACACACACACACACACACACACACACACACUGAUCACAGAACAGCAUCACAAACACUACCUCCCCACCCAUACACCUACGCUAUUACAGUAAAAAGCUAUUUUAUCUGUGUUAGAGCAAGCAAAAAAACUAACAAAUGAACUCAGGAGGGAUGUAUUGCCAUCUGUUGUGUUCUGUUUUUCUACUAAUAUGGCAAAUGGUUUAAAGAAAUACUCUACUCAAACCUGUGUUUCUAAUUAAAUGUUCAUGGUAAUUAGCACUUGUCAUUUCAGAAAUGUUGAGAGAAACUAAAUGAAAACCAGAUGGGUAUUCCUUUCUUGACUGAGUCCAAACACACACACACACACACACACACACACACACACAAACAGAGACACACACACACACACACACACACACACACACACACACACACACUCACACACACAAACACACACACACACACACACACACAGACAGACACACAGGAACACACACACACAAACAGACACACUCGCUGCUCGGAGAAGUCUGAAGCACAGAUCCACCAGAGUCUUUUGAAUCUUUUAGCACAUCACGUUUGAAGGGAAAUCGGUGAAAUAAAGUCCAAGGUAGGGAAAUAUGGAAAUAAAGCUCAAUAAUAAAGAUGCAGGUCAGCAUAUGUACCUGAUAUUUCACCCUUACACGUUUCUCCUUCAAGCCCUGACUGAUGGAGGAACAUUUGUGUUGCUUUAUAGCAGGAAGCACAUGACUAACCAUGUGUGUGUGUUCGUGUGUGUGUGUGUGUGUAUGAGUAUGUGUGAGUAUAUGUGUCUGUGUGUGUGUGUCUGUGCCAGUGAGUGAGUGUGUGUGUGUGUGUGUGUGUGUGUGUUUGUGUGUGUGCGCCAGUGUGUGUGUGUGUGUGUGUGUGUGUGUGUGUGUGUGUGUGUGUGUCUGUGCCAGUGAGUGAGUGUGUGUGUGUGUGUGUGUGUGUGUGUGUGUUUGUGUGUGUGCGCCAGUGUGUGCGCCAGUGUGUGUGUGUGUGUGUGUGUGUGUGCGCCAGUGUGUGUGUGUGUGUGUGUGUGUGUGUGUGUGUGUGGAAUUCAGAGAAGCCUGGUGGAAUGCCUCUCACACUCUUGUCAGGCAGCAUCCCUAAUCACCAGAGGAGUGUCUCCCUGAAGCAUUCUGUAACACCACCCUCCUAACUCCUAACUCGGAAAGAGAAAGAGGUCAAAAUAGUACUCUUAACAUUUAACAAAGGUUGCCGCACCUAAAAGGCUUCUGCUGAUGGACUGUAAGUCUGGUGAAUAUUAGGCCACUACUCCUGAUCCACAACACAAAUAGCUAUUUUGUUCCCUGCAGAGACGCUCAACCUUUAAGGAUUUCUGUUCUGCAAAACAAGCGUUUGUACAACCUUUGGAUUGCGGUGUGCUUUAUUUCACCUCUUUCAUCAUUUGUAUUAACGAUUACUAUUAUCAUUAUACACUAUUGUAUGAUCAUGAACUCAAACUCAUCCAUAUGAUGGGCGCCCACUGAGAACAAAGGACCACUGUGAAGGGCCACAUGUGGUUGGCUCCCCUUAACCAAUCAGGAGACAGGGUUCCGCGAGGGAGCCCGCACCCCACCAUCGCAUCACCGCGCUGUGGCAUGAAGCUGCCCAGAGGGUUGCCACCCACAUGUCUAUGUUCGGGGUCAGCGUAUGUAACUUCAGGACCAACAGCCCCGAGGCCAAAUGAAAAAAGGAUGGUGAUCCAGUGAGUGUCCUUUUCAAACACACACACGCACACACACACACACACACGCAUAUGUUAAGUCUUCAGACAUGACACGUCAGAAGUACAAAACCUUCCAAAACGCCUUCAAUAGCGUGGGCUCAUGUGAUAGCCAGCUACGAGCUGUGGCUGGAACGCACAGAGGACUGAUGGGGAUAUGUGGCACAGUCUCACCCGCCAACAAGAACGUUUCAUGAACCCACCAAGAAUCCAUUUGAGCAAUAACAACAAUAAAACGCGUUUUUACCAGCACACGUGACGAAACCAUGAGCCCAUCUCUCUCUCUCUCUCUCUCUCUCUCUCUCUCUCUCUCUCGCCUUUACCCUUUACCUCAAGACCAAGACCGAUCGCUUGUUUACACGUAUCAGUUUUCACCGUCAGCGAGAAAAUAUGAAACCCUAAUCACAUUCAUUAUCUCGAGGAUAUAUGACUGGUUGGGUUAUAAUCAAACAAGACCAACGACCGAGGCUGACCGCGCGCUCAUCCGCGCAGCCAAUAGCAGAGCGGAGUCCUCUGCACAUUGCACGAAACAAAAGAAUAAACACGAUACGGGAACAAUAGAGCCUAGUUCAACCCAUGAAGUCUAUGUCCUCUGUUUUGUCAGUUCGUUAACGUUGCACAUCAAGCCAUUGUUCAAUGCGUUUUUAUUAGUACAUAAAGGUUUGGUAGGGAUAGGGAAGUUGAUGUUUGCAUUUAUUGCAUAGACGUGUAUGUGCAUUAAUGUCCAUCUAUACCUUUGUGAACCACUCGGGAUCCAUCCAAUUAUGGUGUGAAUGUACGAACAAAGUGGUCAGAUUUGCAGUCUUUCAUGUAUUGAAAAACAGUUUAAGGUUUAUAAGCAUACGUUCACAUUUUACCAUUUAACUGUGGGAAUAUUAAUUUUAACUGAUAUCACGAAUGCAGCUCCUAUCAGUAGUAGCCUUCACUUACCCUGUGUAGAACGCCUUGAAGAGUCACUUCCCACAAAGCGAUAGCUCCGCUUGUAAGCUGACUGUAAGUAGAAUAAACAUCUCGCGGUUCUCAGUCCAGCUCCCAUACCUCACCAGAACUAAUUCAUGGUCCUCAACGUCGAAUGCCGAACCAUUGCAGAGCAACGAUCCAUGUACCGUACUAAAGCGUCACUUGUUGUUCACCUCACUUAACCAAAGGAGGACCACGCGAAAUAACUGUCUAUCAACAACAGAUUCGAACGACAAAACAUACCACGAACGCGCUAUCAGUGUUUCCCUAAUGUUCAGGUCAAUUCCCUCGUUUAAGACAGCUGAACGUCACAUGCCAUCUCUUGUUUUGUGAGCAUUGUUUUCCACGGUGCCAAUAAGACGCUAUUGAGAGCGCCAGCGCUUGCCUUGGACCAAACCAUUCCCAGAGAGAAUAGGGCGACGGUAGAACGCCAAGUGCAAUGGUUGUAGCGAGGAGGAGGUGGAGGGGAGGAGGAGGAGGGGGAGGAUGUUCAAGUCGAUUAGCCAUCAUGUUGUGAUCAUCGCUUGGGCACCUAAACAAAAGACAUUAUUCAAAAACAACAAUUACAAUAGGACAUAUC